UAGGUUUUUGCUGCAUGGUUACCCUGAGGCUUACAUAAAAUAUAAACAUAGCCGUCUAUUUUAUGCAGCAUGAAGACCUUCUUUCAGCAUUUCUUGUAAGGAAGGUCUAGUAGUGAUGAAUUCCCUCAGCUUUUGUUUGUCUAGGAAAAUAUUCAUCUCUCCUUCAUUUCUGAAGGACAGCUUUGCCAGUUUCCCCAGUUGCAAAGGUGUAAUCUGCUAAAGACCCUUCUCAGCCCAG